rnacentral:rRNA from 1 species
UACGUAGGGUGCGAGCGUUAAUCGGAAUUACUGGGCGUAAAGCGUGCGCAGGCGGCGCGUUAAGACAGGUGUGAAAGCCCCCGAGCUUAACUUGGGAAUUGCGCUUGUGACUGGCGUGCUGGAGUGUGGCAGAGGGAGGUGGAAUUCCACGUGUAGCAGUGAAAUGCGUAGAUAUCGGGAGGAACACCAAUGGCGAAGGCAGCUCGCUGGGACGUUACUGACGCUGAGACGCGAAAGCGUGGGGAGCAAACAGG